rnacentral:lncRNA from 1 species
AUCUUGGCGAGGGGCAUUCACAUGCACCCACAUAAAGUGCAGAGGCCCUUUGCACAGAAUCCUGGCAGGGAGCCCUCGGCGGCUCUGACCCUCAGCCUGCACCGUGAGCGUCCUGUGCCCUGGCCAGGGAGAAGACUCCAACCACAGACCCUUCACCUGGUAGAGCGUCCCCGACCAGCCCAUCAGCAGAACGACCCUGUGGGCUGGGGCUGGCCCCCUGCAUUGGGCCCCUCACAACCAGUGUGUCUCCAUCCCAUGCCCUGAAUCUGCCCCCAGGAACCCUCAGUGUCACACCCACCCUGUGGGCCAGUCAAUGCACUCAACACUGGGGUGCUGAGGACACGGGGGUGCGCCCUCCAACAAGGGCUGUGCUGGGACAGGCCCAGCUGUGAGGCCACAGUUGACCUCCCAGGGGGACACGGGUCUGCUGCUCCAGAGACGCGGCCCUGCCAGGAGGGCUCCGUGAGUGCACACUCUCCCCUGGGCUUCCCGGGUGCGGGGCCUCCCCUGGCACAGCACAGCCCCUCACAGCACAGGCCUCGCUGGGCUCUAGCUCUGUAUCUGUGCUCCUGGCAGGCCAGCACCCCAUUGCAAUGUCCUGUGCCUCUCAGGGCCCAGGGUGACCCCUCCCCAGCACAGCUCCAUUUCGGAGGCAGCCUUGGUAACCGAUGCUCAAAUGACCACUGCCCAGGCCAGAAUCUCAGAGGAGGCCACAGGUCCCUGGUACGCUCUGAUGGGGCAGCCUCCGUGGGGGAUCCCUGGGCCCUGAACACCCUCCUUUCUCACUGUCCCUCCCUCCCCUGCGAAGGGCAUCCUCAGCUGCUUCUGAAACCUGGGGGGCUGUGGUGGGAAACAGGUAGGUCACGUGGUUUCCAGGCGCCCGGACAGGCUGUUCUCAACACUCUCUACUGCAAACUACACACAGUUUUACGUUGCCAGAAAGACCCCAAAUUUCUAUUCAAAAAGACAGUACCAGUUUCAGUUCCCGCCAACCUCAAAGGCAGAGACAAAAGGAUGGUGCGCCCCUCCUGUAACUUCAUUUCUUCAGUGACUGUGAAGCUGAGGGCAGAGUCCACGCCUGGGGACAGGGCUGCCAACGCAGCGGCCACCGCGCCCAACGCUCGCUCCUCCUCCCAGAGACGACCUGAGCUCUGCUCAGAAGCGGCACCUCCUCAUGCUGGACUCACUUGGGCCCACAUGUGCCCAGGGGGCCUGGAACUGUGAGUCUUUCUUCAACUCAGGGGAACGUUUCCA